UGGAAUGUAGUUUAGAUGGCAGAACACCAGCCGUUUGUCUGGUAGCGUUGGUUCAAACCCAACUGUUCCAU
rnacentral:tRNA from 1 species